rnacentral:rRNA from 1 species
CCUUUGGGGGGGGCCCUCUAUAUAUGUUUUGGUUCUUCCCCGUAGAUUGAACGCUAGCGGGGAUGCCUUACACAUGCAAGUCGAACGGCAGCGGGAAAGUAGCUUGCUACUUUUGCCGGCGAGUGGCGAACGGGUGAGUAAUGUAUCGGAACGUGCCCAGUAGCGGGGGAUAACUACGCGAAAGCGUGGCUAAUACCGCAUACGCCCUACGGGGGAAAGGGGGGGAUCUUAGGACCUCUCACUAUUGGAGCGGCCGAUAUCGGAUUAGCUAGUUGGUGGGGUAAAGGCCUACCAAGGCGACGAUCCGUAGCUGGUUUGAGAGGACGACCAGCCACACUGGGACUGAGACACGGCCCAGACUCCUACGGGAGGCAGCAGUGGGGAAUUUUGGACAAUGGGGGAAACCCUGAUCCAGCCAUCCCGCGUGUGCGAUGAAGGCCUUCGGGUUGUAAAGCACUUUUGUCAGGGAAGAAAAGGUUUCGGAUAAUACCCGGAGCUGAUGACGGUACCUGAAGAAUAAGCACCGGCUAACUACGUGCCAGCAGCCGCGGUAAUACGUAGGGUGCAAGCGUUAAUCGGAAUUACUGGGCGUAAAGCGUGCGCAGGCGGUUCGGAAAGAAAGAUGUGAAAUCCCAGGGCUCAACCUUGGAACUGCAUUUUUAACUACCGAACUAGAGUAUGUCAGAGGGGGGUGGAAUUCCACGUGUAGCAGUGAAAUGCGUAGAUAUGUGGAGGAACACCGAUGGCGAAGGCAGCCCCCUGGGAUAAUACUGACGCUCAUGCACGAAAAGAGCGAA